GUCUAUGGCCCUACCACCCUGAACGCGCCUGAUCUCAUCUGAUCUCAGAAGCUGAGCAGGGUCAGGCCUGAUUAGUACUUGGAUGGGACAAACUAGAAACUUUCGCAUGGAGAUC
rnacentral:rRNA from 1 species